CUUCUGUGCAAAUAUUGACUACCAGUUGAGGGGGACUGCAAUUGAUAUCACAGAUGCAAGUCUUGUUUUCUUUACAAUCUUGAGGCACAAUCACUACUACUUGAUGUGCUUUAACAUCCC